CCUACGGGUGGCAGCAGUGAGGAAUAUUGGUCAAUGGGCGGGAGCCUGAACCAGCCAAGCCGCGUGAGGGAAGAAGGUACAGCGUAUCGUAAACCUCUUUUGUCAGGGAACAAAGGCGGGGACUAGUCCCCGGAUGAGGGUACCUGAAGAAAAAGCAUCGGCUAACUCCGUGCCAGCAGCCGCGGUAAUACGGAGGAUGCGAGCGUUAUCCGGAUUUAUUGGGUUUAAAGGGUGCGCAGGCGGUCUGUUAAGUCAGCGGUCAAAGCUCGGGGCUCAACCCCGGCCCGCCGUUGAAACUGGCAGUCUCGAGUUGGAGAGAAGUAUGCGGAAUGCGCGGUGUAGCGGUGAAAUGCAUAGAUAUCGCGCAGAACUCCGAUUGCGAAGGCAGCAUGCCGGCUCCACACUGACGCUGAGGCACGAAAGCGUGGGUAUCGAACAGGAUUAGAUACCCUUGUAGUC
rnacentral:rRNA from 1 species